AGUUAAAAAUUUUAUCAAUUUUUACUGUCAAAAGUUAAUGUAAACGACAAAAUAACCAGACAAAUUAUACAUGAUAUUCAUGUGUAUUUCAUGUUGAUAUACAUAAAUCAGUUUUUACCAGUAAAAAUAGAUAGAUUUUUUAACA
rfam:Gossypium raimondii Chr05_contig_26, whole genome shotgun sequence.